GCGGUGGGUCGACGGCUCCUGGGGCUGAAAGCGGCGCUGCGGAUCCCCCGCUCUCACCCCUGGGUCCGUCGCCGCCCCGCGG
rnacentral:pre_miRNA from 1 species